AUGGGGCGCUCCAAGGCAAUUGAUGAAGCGGAUCUACAUGACGUUCUGUCGUUGCGAGAUGAUUUCGGAGUACUGCAGCAGGAGAGCGCACAGAUGCAAAAUCAGAUGUCUAAGCUACAAGAGGAAGUGCAAGUAAUUGGAGCCAAGCAAGGACAGAUCUCUGAAACAGUGGGUACAGUGGAGCAAGUUGUACGUGAUCUGAGCAAGCAAUUAGCAACAAUUAGUACUGUUUUAACUAAUUUGGUUAAAGUUUCUCAACCUGAUGCCCAGCAAGAUAAUCCAUCCAGUUCAACUCAGGUGGUCAAAUCUCCCACUCUGCAUAGAGAACAAACACAAGAACAAGCAGUGAGAAUAGAGCAACUGAAGCAACAGUUAGCAACAGAGAAAGAGAAGACUAAGCAGAUGGAAGAUAUCCAGUUACAGAAUUUACCUCCCAUCAGAACAAACAGAGUUACAGUGCCACCUGGCUAUGCUCAACCAGGGAGAAAUGACACUGCCAGUGCAGUAGGAACUCCUGUUACCGGAAGACAUAAUGCACAUACUCCUGCAUUCAACCAGUUUUACCAGCAAAACAGAGACAGGCAAUUGUGGCAAGGGUACUACAAAACUUAUGAGCAGGAUAUGCAGGCUCAGUUCAUGAAAUCAGUUACAAAAGGACCUAGGCUGGAUUUCCCUAGAUUUUCUAGAACAGACCCAGUGGGAUGGAUUAGACAAUGCAACAAAUACUUCCAAAUGUCUGGAGCUCCAGAAGAGUACAAAGUAUCAUUAGCACAGAUGUACAUUGUUUGA
rnacentral:rRNA from 1 species